rnacentral:rRNA from 1 species
UACAGAGGGUGCGAGCGUUAAUCGGAAUUACUGGGCGUAAAGGGCGCGUAGGUGGUUAUGUAAGUGAGCUGUGAAAUCCCCGGGCUUAACCUGGGAACUGCAGCUUAUACUGUGUAACUGGAGUGCGAUAGAGGGUAGUGGAAUUUCCGGUGUAGCGGUGAAAUGCGUAGAUAUCGGAAGGAACACCAGUGGCGAAGGCGGCUACCUGGAUUGACACUGACACUGAGGCGCGAGAGCGUGGGGAGCAAACAGG